GUUGAACGCUGGCGGCAUGCCUUACACAUGCAAGUCGAACGGCAGCGCGGACUUCGGUCUGGCGGCGAGUGGCGAACGGGUGAGUAAUACAUCGGAACGUACCCUGUUGUGGGGGAUAGCUAGUCGAAAGAUUAGCUAAUACCGCAUACGACCUGAGGGUGAAAGUGGGGGACCGCAAGGCCUCACGCAGCAGGAGCGGCCGAUGUCUGAUUAGAUAGUUGGUGGGGCAAAGGCCCACCAAGGGGACGAUCAGUAGCUGGUCUGAGAGGACGAUCAGCCACACUGGGACUGAGACACGGCCCAGACUCCUACGGGAGGCAGCAGUGGGGAAUUUUGGACAAUGGGGGCAACCCUGAUCCAGCAAUGCCGCGUGUGUGAAGAAGGCCUUCGGGUUGUAAAGCACUUUUGUCCGGAAAGAAAUCGCGCUGGUUAAUACCUGGCGUGGAUGACGGUACCGGAAGAAUAAGCACCGGCUAACUACGUGCCAGCAGCCGCCGUAA
rnacentral:rRNA from 1 species